UAGGGAAUCUUCCGCAAUGGACGCAAGUCUGACGGAGCAACGCCGCGUGAGUGAAGAAGGUUUUCGGAUCGUAAAACUCUGUUGUUAGGGAAGAAAAAAUGUAUAGUAACUAUAUACAAAAGAGACGGUACCUAACCAGAAAGCCACGGCUAACUACGUGCCAGCAGCCGCGGUAAUACGUAGGUGGCAAGCGUUGUCCGGAAUUAUUGGGCGUAAAGCGCGCGCAGGUGGUUUAGAAAGUCUGAUGUGAAAGCCCACGGCUCAACCGUGGAGGGUCAUUGGAAACUAAUAAACUUGAGUGCAGGAGAGAAAAGUGGAAUUCCUAGUGUAGCGGUGAAAUGCGUAGAGAUUAGGAGGAACACCGGUGGCGAAAGCGGCUUUUUGGCCUGCAACUGACACUGAGGCGCGAAAGCGUGGGGAGCAAACAGG
rnacentral:rRNA from 1 species